GCCAGGUGUGGUGGCGUGUGCCUGUAAUCCCAGCUACUCUGGAGGCUGAGGUAGGGAAUUGCUUGAACCUGGGAGUUGGAGGUUGCAGUGAGCCGAGAUCGUGCCACUGCACUCCAGCCUGGGUGACAGAGCUAGACUCUGCCUCAU
rnacentral:SRP_RNA from 1 species